AGGCACAAGCCAAAAGUCUAAAAACGGAUAUUUGUGCAUCAUUGUUUGCCUUGUUUUCCAUCUAACUGGACAACCCGUAGCUCCACUGGAACUUGCUGGUUGAUUAAACGCCUCUAGCUUGAGGUUAAUUCCUCUGGGCACCUCAUCUGGAGUCACAUGGUCCUGUGGCCAAUAAUGUCCGGCAGAACCACGUCCCUCCAGGCGUCACUCGUGUUCAAUGGGGCAAGAAAGCACCCAGUGUCUCAAAAAUACUCAUUCCAAACAAUGCUUGGAACUCAAGCACAAGGGGGAAAAGGAUUCCUCUUCUGGUAUUACUUUACAUUCUCUGGAGAAGGAGAUGUAAGAUUUUGCUCUCCAAUUACCCGCUAAAUGUGAUGUGCUGUGCAUGUGAAGGUCUUCCGUGGCCCACUUCCUUCUGUCCUCCAAGUCCCCUCUUGCCUGUUUUUAGACAUGGGCGGGGUCUCAAGCGCUUCAGCCGGGGUGUAUGUUUCAAGACAGCUGUUGACAGCUCAACUGAACUCGAGAGGUCUCAAGUCUGACAGUGGGAGGAUCUUUAUGGUCCUCACUUGGAAGUCAUGGCCUUUCUCUGCUCACGUCUGGAAUCCUUGUUGAGCAUCUCCGGAUGUCCUGCAGGAUUACCAGCUGACUGCUCUCAUGCUUAUCUCCUCAUCUGUCAAAGCUGCAACUCUCUGCCUCUGCCUCUGCUGCCUGACAGGCAUCACUCACCCAGCAGCUGGCCUUCCAUAGGGGAUAACUAAUUUAUAUCCUCCCCUU